rnacentral:rRNA from 1 species
UACGGAGGGUGCGAGCGUUGUCCGGAAUCACUGGGCGUAAAGGGCGCGUAGGCGGCGCGGGUAGUCGUCGGUGAAAGCUCAGGGCUCAACCCUGAGUCGGCCGGUGAUACUCCCGUGCUCGAGCACUGUAGAGGCAGGUGGAAUUCCGGGUGUAGCAGUGAAAUGCGUAGAUAUCAAGUGGAACACCAGUGGCGAAGGCGAGUCUCUGGACAUUUCCUGACGCUGAGGCACGAAAGCCAGGGGAGCAAACGGG